rnacentral:rRNA from 1 species
CCCUUAGAUGUCCUGGGCCGCACGCGCGCUACACUGAUGCAUUCAACGAGUAUUUCCUUGGCCGAGAGGCCUGGGCAAUCUUUUAUACCUGCAUCGUGAUAGGGAUAGAUUAUUGCAAUUAUUAAUCUUGAACGAGGAAUUCCUAGUAAACGCAAAUCAUCAAUUUGCAUUGAUUACGUCCCUGCCCUUUGUACACACCGCCCGUCGCACCUACCGAUUGAAUGGUCCGGUGAAAUCUCGGGAUUGUGGCCAGUUCACUUUAUUGGGAGUUGGCUGCGAGAACUUGCUUAAACCUUAUCAUUUAGAGGAAGGUGAAGUCGUAACA